CGCGUAGGCGGUUUGGUAAGUCGGAUGUGAAAUCCCGAGGCUCAACCUCGGGACUGCAUCCGAUACUGCCCGACUAGAGGUAGGUAGGGGAGAUCGGAAUUCCUGGUGUAGCGGUGAAAUGCGCAGAUAUCAGGAGGAACACCGGUGGCGAAGGCGGAUCUCUGGGCCUUACCUGACGCUGAGGCGCGAAAGCUAGGGGAGCGAACA
rnacentral:rRNA from 1 species